ensembl:lncRNA
GGACUAUCCCAGGGGGCCUCUGGGACCCUGAAGAGGGUUGGCUCUGUGCAGGAAGAGUGCUUUGCUCUGGGAUGAGUAUCCUGUUUGAGGGGGUGGUAAGCACCUCCUGUCUCAUCUGUAUGUGAUGCUGCAGUGCCCUGCUCUCAGGUCUGCUUGUUCUCAUCCCCUGUCACCAGUGCAGAGCCCCAGUCUCAGGCUUUGGGUACACACACUGUGCCCUCCCCAGCCUGGAAGUUGCAACUCCAGCAGCAGCUCUGAGCCGCAAUGUUGGAGCUCUUUCCCCUGUGGGUCUGCAGCGCUCCAUCCGUCCCCACACCCAUCCUGGUGUGUGGCAUUCAGGUGCAGUCUGUUCCAAACACCCAAUUAGGACUUGUUGGUCAUCCAGCAGUGUUGGAGAAGGCUGUGCAGCCCCACACCUUAUUUCAGUCCCUUUGCAAAGGAGAGACCUAUCCAGGAAACAGCCGGAUCCGACGUCUGGAAGGAAGGAUGCCGAUUGUUUUUUCCCCGUGAUAAAAGCUGCUCGUGCUGAGUCAGCACCGGGGCGGAAGGACCGUGGGAGCAGCAGGGAGCAGCAGGAUGCAGCCCUUCCUGCAGCCAGGGUGGCAGCAGGGGAUGGUCUGCCUGAAUCUGAGGGCCGUGGUGUUUGCAUGGGUACCUCUGGAGUCCUGGCAACAGCUGCAGGGCUGCAACCGCGCUUCUGGUUGGGGCGAGUAUUUUAGGAAUGUGCUUCUCUGUGGGGUUUUUUUGUUUGUUUCUUUGGUUUCUUUUUUCUUUCUGUCUUCUUUAAUUUCAGUGUCUGAGGGGCUCGUUGUGUAAGCACAACCAAGGGACGGACUCUGCCUGCGGAAUGGAGCGUUCCGAGCUGCCCAGCUGACACAGAGAGUGAUAAAUGUGUGGGAUGAUGGCAAUAUCCUUUUGCUUUUAGGGAGAAAGGAAGUGUGGAAGAGAAGAGGAUACUGUGUGCAAAGCUGGCAAAAGAGGAGGCAUAGGAGGAGUGCAGGAGAGCAGCUGGUGGAGGUGAAUGCAGCUGUAAGAUGCAGUUGGGUGUCUGAGACAGCAGAAGAGUUGGGCUGAAUGCCAAGUUACGCCAAUAAUGUGCAGGUGCUGAGUUCUGGCAUGUAAAGCCAGCAGUGCGUGAAGUGGAGUUGCUAACAGCUCAGGAGCUGCCCGAGCUGCUGAGAGGCCCUUGGGAAGAGGUAUGUGCCAGUGUAUAUGAGGUCUGUGCGUGGAAGAGACAAAGGCUGGUCACAAAGCAGGGGGCUUCUGCUCAGCCUGGAACAGCAGAGGGGCGGGAUGGGGCUGAGCAGAGGGUGCUGGUAGUGUUGCGCUCAGGGCUGGGUGCUCCAGGGGUCUGCCAGGAGCAAUGCUUGGCCCUGCCCCUACUCCUGCAGGGGAAUAAGGGGUUAAAAAGGGUGGUGGCACAAUUCAAGCAUCCAUCCAUCCCUCUGUUUUCUUGGUGCUUGUGGGGCUGGGGGCCAUAGCACUGCCACACCAGGGUGGCAAGAGUCCCACCAGGCUGGUGGCAGGGAUGGGUCACCAUUGAACAGCCAAAUGUGGGUGGCUGCAUUCCACAGCUCCAGAAAGCUGCAGAAUGAGGGAGAGAUCAGGAUAUGUGAGCUGGAGCCUUGCCCAAGGGCUUUUGUUUUCUUGUCAUCGUUCCCUUUAAUAUAAAGCUGUUUCUUGUGGCUCUGCAGCUGUGGAGUAAUGGUGCUUUGGUAGCACUGUGAUAUCAGACACUCUGUAUGGACAAAAGACGGAAAAAUAAACAUUAUAUUUGGUACUAAAAA